AAGCAAACCUGUUCUAUCGCUGCAUUCUUUAUGGAAUGAAGAGGAAAGUCCGGGCAACACAGAGCGAUACGCUUCCUAACGGGAAGGCUGCACCAUUCCGGUGCAGACAGCAAGUGCCACAGAGAAUAUACCGCCUUUCGGGGUAAGGGUGAAAACGUGAGGUAAGAGCUCACGGGCUUGCAUGGUGACAUGUAUUUCGGUAAACCUCGUAUGUUGAAAGACCAAAUAGGUUGCAAGAUCAGAAAGCUGCUCGUUUUCUGCCUUCGGGCAAUUGCAAUGGGUAGGUUGAUGGAGUUUGUGCGCAAGUGCAAACCUAGAUAAAUGAUAGAAGUCCUUCGGGAUACAGAACCCGGCUUAUAAGGUUUGCUUUUUU
rnacentral:RNase_P_RNA from 1 species